rnacentral:lncRNA from 10 species
UGAGGACGUCCCAUGUGCUGAGAAGAAUAAUAGCAGCAGGUCUCUCCCAUGCAAAGCCAUACCAAUACCACCAAGAAGACCUUCAGAAGCAUAGCAGCCUCAGUCACUCAGGGACAUACCAAACUGAGUCCUGGAAACAUUCAACUUCUCUUCAGUCUUUGCAUUGCCAGCAGCUUUAUUAUUCUGGGAAAUUAGAAAACUGAUGCCUUAACCACUGCUGAGGAGCUCCCAUUUUAGAAUAAUCUAACUGGAGAAGAUGAAAGCCCAGAGCAGAAAAUGCCACCUGUCCUGACUGUGGGGUGGGGGACUGUCCUAAACAACAAUACUGUUUAGAUGAUUGGGAGCAGGUGUGCUAGGGAAGCUACCAAUAACUAAGAGCUGAAGUUUCUAACUCUACACUAGCUUUGGAAGAGGAGAAGCCAGACACUGUACUAGAAGAAGUGUGCCAGUCUCAUUUAAUUAUCACAACAGGCCUGCAAAGUCAAUAUUAUUCCCAUUUUAUAGAUGAGGACCCUACAGCUGAGUGAAAUGAGCUCAUUUAAUGAAGGUUAUGUAGAUAGUAACUUUCUAAGCCAAGUUACAAAAUUAGGUCUGGUCUUAUUCCAAAGAAUUCUUUGUUUUAUUGAUGUUAUUUUCUUAACCCUUUACUACGAAACACUUUUAUCUGAAAGCAGAAGUGGCUUCAGCCCUCACCGUCCUCACAACCACCCCACUCCCCAGCAUACCUAAGCUGGCAGCCUGCUUCAAUACAUCAAAUUAUUUCUAUAAAAGAGAGAACUCAGCAAGCAUUAAAUGCCAGAUGUCAUCAAACUGACCACCCACCUCUAUGUAUCAAGAAGCAAGAACCAGAACAAUUAGAUUAUGGUGAUUGAUGUCAGACUGAAAAAAGAGGCAAGAAGAUGAUACUUUUAAAAGAGGGAAGCUCUAGUUUAAAAACAACAUGAAUCAGAAUUUAAGCUAAACUAUAAUUUCUGUAAUUUAGUGAAUAAAAAAGAAAUUAAACUUCUAUUCAUGUCUAGCUCCAAAAGGUUUUGAUUGUCAUAUUACAUUUUCUGUUGCAUAGAAAUACAAAAUGAGGGAUUCAUUCUAGAUUUGUAAUAGUAAUUCAAGGCUAUCAUGUGAAAGAAGUAUUUGAAAAAAAAAAGAGUAUUUGUAUUUUUGCUGGAUCGCAGUGGCAGAACUAAAAACAAUAAAUGGAAGCUUCAGGGAUCAUAAUAAAAGAAAACACUCUACUACGAACAGAGCUGUCCAAAGGUGAAAUGAGUUACUUCAAUGAGACUGCCUCUGCAGAGAUUUUCAAGGGUAACUGGGACAGCACUUAACUGGGGCAUUUCAAAAAGGUAAAAGUCUCCAGUUGGGUAGGAUUACAUGAUGUCUAAGGACUUUUCCCAAUUUGUUAUUCUUUUGUUUUAGAACAGGUGAAAAGAUUUCCACUUUCUCUGCUAUUGUUUACACAUCUUAUAUUUAUUUGGAAAUGAUGUACUACCAUAUUAGCCAUUUAUUUUUGCAUGUACUUGAUUUGUGCCUAUAGCCUCUAUGUUGCCUCUCAUUAAUGUUGAAUGUUAGGAGAAGGUGUUUAUCAGUGUUAACUAGCUGCACUUGACUUAUUCUGUAUUAUAGUGGGCAUCACACAUCUUGAGUAAGUCUAUUGCUAGGCUUAAUUAAAUAUUUAUAAUAUAUAA